rnacentral:lncRNA from 1 species
AGGGUUCUGAGGAGAGGAUAGGACCUUCAUUAGGCAUUGUAUAAGGUUCCAGUCGCAUGGUUCCUAUUGUAGCUGGACAAUUUUUUUUUCUAACAUGCUAUCUUCUUUGAUCACCGUACUCCUCAUUUUAUGGUUACAUCUUUUCUUUGAACAAUAUUGAAUGGUGUGCUUAGGUUCUCCAAAAUAUAAGUAUAAUUCUUCCUGACAACGAUGAAUCUUUUCUUGCUGAAUAAGAGAUUUGAAACGUACUACAUGAAUUUGUAUAUCAUCUAUUUCCGAAUAUAUUUGUUGAAGAG